rfam:Oryza rufipogon genomic scaffold, chr03
AAAAAGACAAUUCCAUGCCUAACGUUUGACCGUCCGUCUUUCAAAUUAUAAAAAAAUAAAAAGACAAAUCACGCAUAAAAUAUUAAUCAUGUUUUAUCAUCUAACAACAAUGAAAAUACGAAUUAUAAAAAAAUUUCAUAUAAGACGGGCCGUUAAAGUUGGACACGGAAAUCCAGGGUUUGUCUUUUU